AAGAAAGUAUUUAUUUUGUUUUUGAGGAAAAGAUUUAUUUUAUAAAAGUAUUUUUUGGUUUAAUUAAUUUUUAAUAAAAAAAUAGAGUUUAAUUAUAGUUUAGUAUUAUUGAAAAAGAAAAUUAAAUUUUGUGUAAAAGAAAAAUUUAAUUUUUGUACCUUGGGUAUCAGGGUUUAUUGAAAAUUUAUUUUAAAUUGAAAUAAUCUCGAGUUUAAUAAGGGCUAUAAAGUUAUAUUGGUAUAUGUAGAAAAAUAUUAUUAAAUAAGUUUAUAGAAAUGAAAAGUUAUUCUAUUUUAAAUAUAUCUAGUUUUUUAAGAGAUUAAUUUAAUUAAGUUUGUAUAUAAAAUAUUAUUUUAUAGAGAAUAUUAUUUUAUUUAUAAAUUAAUAAAAAGGGGGAUAAUCUUUUUUUUAAAUCUAUAUAAUUAAGAGAGAAAAUUAUAAAUUAAUAGAAUUAAAAGUUUUAAGUUUUAGUGAGUUAUAUUUAGUUUAUUUAUAAAUAUGAUUUUUAUAGAUUUAUUUUUUUUAUUAAAAAAUAAAUUUUUAUUUUUAAAGUUUAGGUAUAAUGAUAAAAUUAGUAUAAAUAAUGUGUAUAAAUUAUAAUUGAAGGAAAGGUUAUUAAAAAGAACUAGGCAAAUAAAUUUUCAUCUGUUUAAUAAAAACAUAUCUUUUUGAAUUUGAUUUAAAGUGUAAUCUGCUCAAUGAGAUUUAAAUAGCCGCAGUAUAUUGACUGUGCUAAGGUAGCAUAAUCAAUAGUUUAUUAAUUGUAAGCUUGAAUGAAUGAUUGGAUGAGGAAUUAACUUUUUUAUUUUAAUUUAAUUAAAAUUUUAUUUUUAAGUGAAAAAGCUUAUAUUUUUAUAAAAGACAAGAAGACCCUAUAGAGUUUUAUAAAAUUAUUUAUGGAUUGAGAAAAAGGUUUAAAUUUUAUUGAUCAAUAGUUUUAAUUAGUUGGGGUGAUUGAUAAAUUUGUUUAAUUUUAUUUAGAUUAAAGCAUUAAUAUAUGGAAAAUAUGAUCCUUUAAAAAGAUUAUUAGAAAAAAUUACCUUAGGGAUAACAGCGUAAUUUUCCUUUAGAGUUCAUAUUAAAAGGAGAGUUUGCGACCUCGAUGUUGGAUUAAGAUUAAUAAUUGGUGUAGAAGUUAAUUAAUUAGGUCUGUUCGACCUUUAGAAUCUUACAUGAUCUGAGUUUAAACCGGCGUGAGCCAGGUUGGUUUCUAUCUUUAUAUAAAUUAUUUAUAUUAGUACGAAAGGACCAUAUAAAUUUUAUAAUAGAAAAUUUUUAGAAUAAGAAUUA
rnacentral:rRNA from 1 species